rnacentral:rRNA from 1 species
UACGAGGGGCCCGAGCGUUAAUCGGAAUCACUGGGCUUAAAGGGUGCGCAGGCGGGCCUGCAGGCGUCUUGUGAAAUCCCCCGGCUCAACCGGGGAAUUGCAGGGCGAACCGCAGGUCUUGAGGAAGGCAGAGGCGGGUGGAACCAUAGGUGGAGCGGUGGAAUGCGUAGAGAUCUAUGGGAACGCCGAAGGUGAAGACAGCCCGCUGGGCCUUUCCUGACGCUCAGGCACGAAAGCGUGGGGAGCAAACAGG